CAGAUGAAGGACGUGAAGAAACAACCACGUGCACGUUAGCGAUGGAUAAAGAGUCAGACUGAGCCAACACCUGAUCUCAGACCUCUCUGUAACACCACCCUGUCCCUCACCCUCCUCCAUCCAUCCAUCCAUCCAUCCAUCCAUCCAUCCAUCCAUCCAUCCGUCCUCUUCAUCCUGAGCACUACAGCCCUGUAGCUGUCAGCAACACUGGCCUCACCUCAGCGGCCUCCACACAUCUGCUCGUCAUCUCUCUGGUUCUUCCUCAGGACAAUGGUUUGAUUGAUCAUCCGUUCAUCCAUCAUUGUCCUACUCACUUGUUCUGGUGCUUGGAGCCCUGGAGGUGUGCGUGGUACUGUUCGAUGGAGUUGAGGACGACACUGCAGACGCUGCAGGAGUAACUACUGCGCAGCCCUGGAGAGAGACAGACACACAGGUCAGAGAUGCAGAAAUAGCCUGACGACGACGACUCCUCGGACACGCAGAGCUUCGGAGGCUUCUCCAUUAGACGUCAUGGCUGACACAGAAGGGUCAGAAGGGUCAGUAUCACCAUCUUCAGCAUUUCACAGCACAGGCUCCAAAUAGAAACUGGCAGUUUUGGAGAGAAGCGGAAACCAAGAAUAUUUUGCUGGAAUAAAUAUUUCAUGGAGA